rnacentral:rRNA from 1 species
AAGUGCGAUCAUACCAGCACUAAUACGGAUCCUAUCAGAACUCCGAAGUUAAGUGUGCAUGGGCGAGAGUUGUACAAGGAUGGGUGACCCCUUGGGAAGUCCUCGUGUUGCACUCC